CAGCGCCGUUUCCGCCUCGCUCAGCCAAUCAGACGCGGCUCUGUCAAUAGGCGGCCAAUAGGGAGAAAGACGAGGCGGGACGAGUGGCGAGGAGCGGAAAAGGAAGCGAAGCAUAACGGAAGUUGUGGGCGGGCUUAAGUGGCGUUAUGAGUAUGCCGGGCAGUGAUUGAAGGGCGGAGCCGUCACUCCGGAAGCGGAAGUGCAGAAAGACGCGGAGCGGCGGUGGAGUGGAGGUUGGGGGAGGGGUAAAAGGGACCCGGGGGGGAGAAUUUGGGGCCACCAUGCCCUGACCAUGUUUAGCAUUGAGGAGUUCCCGGAGGAGCCGCAGCCCCCACCCCUGCCUGGCCCCUGCCACCGGGACCCCCCCGAAUCCCCCUGGGGGGGCAGCUCUGGUUCCAGCCCCGCUGCCACUCCCACAGGAGCCCUCCCCCAGUUUUGGGGUCCAGCAUCCCUCACUCUUCCCCCCCAAUCCCCUCCAUUGCAGAAGGUGGAGGGGGGGGGUCAGGAGGUGGGGACCCCCCCCCCACAUUUCGAGGCCGUUCCCGCUCUGCCCCCCCCGUCCUAUGGGCAGCACGGAAAUAUGGCCGGGAGCUGCGAAGGAUGAGUGAUGAGUUCCAGCUGUUGGUAUGGGGGGGGCUAUGGGGUGGGGGGCAGAGCGGGUCUCUAUGGGGAAAUUGAGGUCACGCUGGGAUCAAACUGAGGUCACUCUGAAAACAGCGGGGUCUGUAUGGGGACAUGGAGGUCACAUUGGAGACAGGGGGGUCACACUGAGGUCUCUAUGGGGACAUUGGGGUCUGUGGGGACAAUGGGGUUUCUAUAGGGCUCCCUGGGGACAGUGAGGUCACACUGGGUGACGCAGGAGACAAUGGGGUCUGUAUGGGGUUCAGUGGUGACACUGGGGUCACAUUGGGGUCUCUGUGGGACACUGGGGUCUUUAUGGGGUCAGUGGGGUCUUUAUGGGCCAUUGGGGUCUCCAUGGGGUCUCUAUGGGCACAUUGAGAUCACACUGAAGUCACUGGGGACAAUGGGGUCUGUAUGGGGACACUGGGGACACACUGGGGUCUCAUUGGGGUCUUUAUGGGGCAUUGGGGGGUCUCUAUGGGGUCAAUGGUGUCUCUGGGGCAUUAUGGGGUCUCUGUGGCUCUGUGGGGUCAAUGGGGUCUCUAU
ensembl:lncRNA